CCUUCACUCCUGUUCUACAUCAUACAUUCAAAUAACUUCCACAAUUUUUCCCUUCCUUGGAUUGCAGCAUUUUCUUGAAGCAAACGUUGGUUUCAUGCACUGAAUUGAACAAAACAAGACAAAUUAUACCAGAGAGUGCUGAGCACCGGGGUCCUUGCAGCUUGGCAGAAGUCACUUGGCAAUUUUACAGAUGCUGAGAGUCUCAACCUUCAGCCCAUAAGGUGUCUUCUCUAUUAGGAAAAUCCAUCGGCUGGCUUUCAUGGCAUGUGGGGCACCAGUGGCCUACCAGCUGAGAUCAAGAAGCAAUCUACUGUGUCCCUUCAUGAUGUGACUCUGCUGAAUGAAUUAAGAGGUCAUGGUGACUUUUGUAGUAAUGGUCACUGCUGGAGUUGGAGGAGGUUUUUGGCUUUGAAGGAAAAACCUGCAGUUAUUUACAGAAAUGAGCAAGAGGGUGCAGCACGAGACCUAUAACGAGGACAGCCCUGGCUGCUGCAGAGGAAGAUCUGCACACAUCAGGGAGAUUCGUGAAGGAGAAAGAGCUGCCACAAGCCCAAACCCCACGCUGAAGCGGCUGAGCAAGGACCUGGCCACAGAGACAGAGACGGGGAAAUGCGGAACGUGGUGCCUUGUGACUUCCAGGAAACUUGGGCAUGGACUGCUCCUGCUGAGCCCCAUCCACCACAGCCCCUGCCGCAUCCCACAGAACCCACAGACGCCCCUUGGUGCCUGGUACAAGUUAUUUAUUAAUUUCUGUGUCGCCUUAUGGAAACAUUCGGGUUUGACAAAGGGAAAAAGCGAUUCGGCGUCCUUUGACAGAGGGAGGUUGAUUUUCAUUCGAGACAGAAUGGCUCAUUUUUACCUUUUUAGCUCCUGGAAGAGUAAAAAGUGAGAGGUCAAACCUGCAUCACCAUGACAACCCCUGCAGCGAGGGUUUUUGAGCAGAUGAAGGGGAGUGAUAAUGGAGCUGAAGUUUCUGCCCGUUCUCA
rnacentral:lncRNA from 1 species